rnacentral:rRNA from 1 species
AACGAACGCUGGCGGCAUGCCUAACACAUGCAAGUCGAACGGGAUCCUAGCUUGCUAGGUGAGAGUGGCGGACGGGUGAGUAACACGUGGGAAUCUGCCUUUUGGUUCGGGAUAACCGCGGGAAACUGCGGCUAAUACCGAAUGCCCUCGAGAGAGGAAAGAUUUAUCGCCAGAAGAGGAGCCCGCGUCCGAUUAGGUAGUUGGUGGGGUAAAGGCCUACCAAGCCGACGAUCGGUAGCUGGUCUGAGAGGAUGAUCAGCCACACUGGGGACUGAGAUACGGCCCAGACUCCUACGGGAGGCAGCAGUGGGGAAUAUUGGAC